GGUCUUAUAUUCAAUAAAGUGAUUAUAGAAUGCAAUUCUAUAGGAGUGAUAAUAAAGUAUGUUUCACUAAGGCUU
rnacentral:tRNA from 1 species